GUGCUCUUUUCGACAGUACAUAUACUAAAUUGGAACAAUACAGAGAAGAUUAGUAUGGUCCCUAUGCAAGGAUGACACGCAAAUUCGUGAAGCAUUCCAUAUAUUU